rnacentral:rRNA from 1 species
AUGGAGCUCAAUGUUCACCUCCGUGAUACUGACGGUGACCCCUUGCCUGACCCGACGCGUUAUCGUCAUCUUGUUGGGAGUCUUGUCUAUCUAGCUGUCACUCGUCCGGAUAUCUCUUAUCCGGUUCAUAUUCUGAGUCAGUUUGUCUCCGCUCCCACUUCGGUUCACUAUAGUCACCUCCUUCGUGUUCUCCAAUAUCUUCGGGGCACGAUCUCUCACCGUCUAUUCUUCCUCGCUCCAGUUCUUUACAGCUUCAGGCCUAUUCGGAUGCUACGUGGGCUAGUGAUCCCUCCGAUCGCCGUUCACUUUCUGCUUACUGUGUUUUUCUUGGUGGUUCUCUCAUUGCCUGGAAGACGAAGAAACAGACUGCAGUUUCCAGUUCGAUUGCAGAGGCUGAGUUACGAGCUAUAG